rnacentral:lncRNA from 1 species
GAAAAGUUAGUUCCGUAAAUUCUGAUUUUUUAUAUAAUCAAUCGGAAUCCUAUUUUUUUGGGCAAAAUCCAUAAAAGAUUGGAUUCUAAAAUAUCUCAACUGAACAGUCUACUUAUAUGCAAUCCUAUUAAAUCCAAUUGAAAUAAUUAUCCAGAAAGGUUCAUCAGCAUCGUUCGUCACGCUAUCAUCACGGCUUCUUCGGUGCAGCGAAAACCAAACUGUAGAUCGCAAAGAGGCUCAAAACGAUGCUUAGAAUCCAACCGAGAAGAUACAGAACUGUAAUAAUUACGGUAAACGAAUCGGAUAAAUCUCGCCGGAGAAAACAAACGGCGAAGAAAGAGAAUGAGGUAUCGGCUUUCUCUCGCGUUCAAGUUUAUCUCUCUGCCACGGUGGCAGACAAACUUUGAGCGGGUUCGGUUGAUGUAACUGAAUUUGAAGGAAGGGGUGCGCAUUUUACAGUGCAUGCGAGCGAGAUUCGAGGCUCGUUGUUUGCACGAAUCACAUUAGCUGUCUUUUGAUCAAAGCAGAGAGAGAGAAAGAGGGGCUUGGAGCUAAUGUGCGCCGGGUGGUGCGUGUUGGAUUGACUUGCAUCUUUUUAUUUCCUUCCUAUUCGGUCUUCCACUGAACCGUAAAAUGCUAUUUAUCAUUUUUCUUGCUUACUUUAGCUGAAAAAAGUGGAGAGGAACCCAAGAAAAUUCAGUUUUGCUGUAAUCAAUCUCAGAGGAAAUAAAUGAAAACUUUCAUGGUUAACAAAUGUAAUAAAAAGUUGUUCUUAUUUCAUUGGAUCACACAAUUUUUCUUCCUAUUGGAGUAAAAACCACUGGGGCAAGAAAUUGAAAAUUGUGAUUUCAUGUUUGUUCCAAGAAAAGGGAGCAAUCUGAGCUUCCAAGUAAGUACC